GUCCCUUUGGUGCAGAGGGAGAAGACCCGGCAGUUGGGUUUCUGGCAGUUGCCUCCUGCCAAGGAAUUGCAAUGGGACACUUUUCCAGACUGUCGAAUGAGUAGGGGAGAGCUAAGUAGACAAGGAAUUGGUUGUUGUAAAGCCCCAGUACAUGUGGGGAUUUCUUCUUUCUCACCCUGCUUGUGAGGAUUUGAGCUUUUCUCUUGCCUGACAGAAGUGCAGUUGCUGCCAAGGGAAACAUACCCAAGGACCAAUAGUGACUCAGCCUUCCCUUUGCUUCCUUUCUUCUUUCCUCUCUGCUCCACAGCUCCCUUGAGCCAGAACCUUGGUGCUGCCUCACCUGAGGAUUCAGAGCUGCCUCUAGGCCCUUCCAGCACAAGUCCAGGUUCUCAAGAGCGUGAGGCUUUCCCAGCAACUCCCAGGAAAAUGUUUGCCACCUCCAGACUUCUUGAGGAUUCUUCAGAGGACACACACAGAUUUCUACGCCAGCCUGAGCUCAUCAUUCCGCUGGUUCCUGUAGACCAUCAAAGCCUUUUUGUGGCACUUCCAGAGAGCAGCAGCUGCACAUCUUCAGAGCAGCACACCCAGCCUACAGCCCAUCAGCCACACCGGGCAGUUCAGCCUCCAGUGCUUCACGUGGCAGUGCUGGUUGGGCAGCAUGGACGGCCUCCAGCUGGGCUUGGAAUAGUCCUGGGCAAGAGGAAUUGCCACCCCUGGAUCUCGACCUUGUUCUUGAGACACUGGAGGAGAUGCUGUCACCAUCCCUGCCUGAAAGGUCUCCCUGUGCUCAGGGGAAUAUUAAUGUUGCCCCUGAGUCUUCAGGAGGGGAGGCCGGGAACAGGGCUGCAGCAGAGGGAGCUUCACCUGGCACCAUGAACUGAGGGAACAGUUCCCUGGAGCCCAAGGAGCCUGAUUCCAUCUGAUUGACCUCUCCAGGAGGGCUGUCCUGAGUGGGAGGAAGAGACAGAGGGAGAGCCUGCGAGAAGAUCUGGCAGGUGCAAUCCCUCUGUCUAUAGUGAUAUUGAUAGAUGUGUAUAGUUAUAUUUAUCCAUCUCUGUAGUUAUAUUUCUAGAUUUAUACAGUUGUAUAGAUAUGUCUAGAUAGAUGAAUUUAAAGAUGUAUAGAGGUAAAUUUUUAUAUAUAUUUCUGUAUAUUGUUUUAUUUAUGUAUGCAUAGUUGUAUUUCUAGGUCUGCAUAGUUACAUUUUUAAAUGUGUACAGUUGCAUUUAUAUAUAUGCAGUUAAGUUUAUAAAUAGUUACAAGUGCACAGUUAUACAUUCAUAUAGUUAUGGGUAUAUGGAGCAUUAGGUACAUAGAUUGAUAUCUGUAUAGGUAUAGGCAGCUUUUUAACCUCUUUCCUGCUCUUCUUCCUCUCUCACCUCUUGUUUUUCCCCCUGUGCCCCCUCUGUCCCCUCCUCCUGUGCUGGCUCCGAGCUGGCGGCCGGGCCGGGCGGAGCAGCAGCUGCAGCCCCGGUGUCCCUGGAGCGGUGGGAGCUGCCGGUGGCCGCAGGCCCUGUGCCCUGAGGAGCUGCUGGAGGACGGUGAGACAGAGGGGGCUGAGGACGCUGAGGAGGCAGUGACACUGAAGGGACGGUGACCUUGAGCUGCCUUGAAGACCUUGAGAAGAGCGGAAGAGUGACGAGAACCAGCAGGGAGAAGCGGAAGGCCACAGCAAGAGCAGCGAAUACGGACCUGCUGCUGCCGCCCGAGACCCUGGGUGUCCCAUCUGCUGUCCCCGUCCAGGAGAGCUGCUCUGCACGGGAGGAAGAGACCGAGGGAGAGGCUUUGAUGAUGGGGCGGCUGGAAUCCCUCUUCUUGUAUCUCUGUUUAAAGAUGUAUGGACUUGCUCAUAAGAUAGUGACCAUUACAUGGAUAUUUAUAUGUAGGUUGCUAUUUGUAUAGGCAUAUUUGUAUAUGUAUGUUGUUAUAUUUAUGGGUGUAUGGUAU